UAAACGUGAUGAUUCUGAGAAUGGUUUCGCAAACUAUACUGACAUUUGUGAUGUCAUGUUUCUCUUGGCUAUCUGAUUAA
ensembl:snoRNA